rnacentral:rRNA from 1 species
AACGAACGCUGGCGGCAUGCCUAACACAUGCAAGUCGAACGAAGGCUUCGGCCUUAGUGGCGCACGGGUGCGUAACGCGUGGGAACCUGCCCCUCGGUUCGGAAUAACAGUUAGAAAUGACUGCUAAUACCGGAUGAUGACUUCGGUCCAAAGAUUUAUCGCCGAGGGAUGGGCCCGCGUAGGAUUAGCUAGUUGGUGGGGUAAAGGCCUACCAAGGCGACGAUCCUUAGCUGGUCUGAGAGGAUGAUCAGCCACACUGGGACUGAGACACGGCCCAGACUCCUACGGGAGGCAGCAGUGGGAAUAUUGGACAAUGGCGAAAGCCUGAUCCAGCAAUGCCGCGUGAGUGAUCGAAGGCCUUAGGGUUGUAAAGCUCUUUUACCAGGGAUGAUAAUGACAGUACCUGGAGAACUAAGCUCCGGCUAACUCCGUGCCAGCAGCCGCGGUAAA